CAGAAUAUAGUUUAAAUAGAAUUUUAGCUUUGGGAGCUAAAGGUAGGCGUGGAAGUCGCUUUUUUCUGA
rnacentral:tRNA from 1 species